AAUUUCAUAAACAACUAUCAACCCUCACACACCAUUGAAUAAUUCUAUAACAAUAUAGAAAAUAUUAUGCUAGAACUAGUAACAAGAAUUUAAUAUUCUCCAAAAUGCAAGUAUUAACCAAAAUGGAUUCUCCAUUGGUAAUUAACGAAAAUGAGCCCGAUACAGUAACCGCCAAGAAAACCCUGUAUAAAUUAUUCGUCAACCUAACACUAGAGCAUUCCCGGAAAGAUUUAAAGAAAAAGAAGGAAUUCAGCAAAUUAUGACCUCGCCUGUUUACCAAAAACAUCGCCUCUUGAUUAACAAUAAGAGGUCCAGCCUGCCCAGUGAUAAAAUUCAACGGCCACAGUACCCUAACUGUGCGAAGGUAGCAUAAUCACUUGUUCUUUAAAUAAGGACUUGUAUCAACGGCAUCACGAAGGUCAUACUGUCUCCCUUUUCUAAUCAGUGAAACUGAUCUCCCCGUGAAGAAGCGGGGAUAAAACUAUAAGACGAGAAGACCCCAUGGAGCUUUAAACCCUUCAGCAACUCAACUACACACUCCUUCAUAAUCUUAGAGCAAUGCCCAAAGGUUUUAGGCUGGGGUGGCCGCGGAGUAAAAAUCAACCUCCACGACGAAAAGAACUAAAUCUUUAUCCUAGAGUUACUACUCUAAGAAUUAGAACACUAACGUACAAUGACCCAAUAAAUGAUCAACGAACCAAGUUACCCUGGGGAUAACAGCGCAAUCUACUUCAAGAGCCCAUAUCGACAAGUAGGCUUACGACCUCGAUGUUGGAUCAGGGUAUCCUAGUGGUGCAGCCGCUACUAAUGGUUC
rnacentral:rRNA from 1 species